rnacentral:misc_RNA from 1 species
GCUCUCUAAAUGGAUAAAGUUUUUCUACUAACAUAUAGGAUUUUUUAAAGGAAGGAAAGCCAGAAAUACCCAAUAUCUUGUUAGAACAGGAUAUUGGGUAUUUCUUUGUUUAUUCUGAAUCUUUCUAUUCUGAAUUCAGUUAACGACGAGAUUUAGUAUCCUUUCUUGCACUUUCAUAACUCGUGAAAUGCCGAGUAGGCACGAAUUCCCCCAAUUUGCGACCCACCAUAGGAUUUGUUAUGUAAAUAGGUAUAUGCUCCCUUUCCAUUAUGAAUCGCGAUUGUAUGGCCAACCAUUGCGGGUAGAAUGCUAGAUGCCCGGGACCACGUUACUAUUGUUUCUUUCUCCUCUUUCAUAUUGACCUUUUCGAUUUUUGUCAAUAAAUGACGAGCUACAAAAGGAUUCGUUUUUUUUUCGUGUCACAGCUGAUUACUCCUUUUUUUCAUUUUUUUUUUUCAUUUUAAAGAGUGGCAUCCUAUGUCCACUAUCUCGAUCGAGGUAUGGAGGUCAGAAUAAAUAGAAUAAUGAUGAGGGAAAAA